UACGUAGGGCGCAAGCGUUGUCCGGAAUUAUUGGGCGUAAAGAGCUCGUAGGCGGCCUGUUACGUCUGCUGUGAAAUCCCGGGGCUUAACCCCGGGCGUGCAGUGGAUACGGGCAGGCUGGAGGCAGGCAGGGGAGAACGGAAUUCCCGGUGUAGCGGUGAAAUGCGCAGAUAUCGGGAGGAACACCGGUGGCGAAGGCGGUUCUCUGGGCCUGUACUGACGCUGAGGAGCGAAAGCGUGGGUAGCAAACAGG
rnacentral:rRNA from 1 species